rnacentral:rRNA from 1 species
GAGUUUGAUCGUGGCUCAGAUUGAACGCUGGCGGCAUGCCUUACACAUGCAAGUCGAACGGCAGCACGGGAGCUUGCUCCUGGUGGGCGAGUGGCGAACGGGUGAGUAAUGCAGUCGGAACGUAUCCUGGAGUGGGGGAUAACGUAGCGAAAGUUACGCUAAUACCGCAUAUUCUGUGAGCAGGAAAGCGGGGGACCUUCGGGCCUCGCGCUCUUGGAGCGGCCGAUGUCGGAUUAGCUAGUUGGUGAGGUAAAGGCUCACCAAGGCGACGAUCCGUAGCAGGUCUGAGAGGAUGAUCUGCCACACUGGAACUGAGACACGGGUCCUAGACUCCUACGGGAGGCAGC